CUUAGUGGCGGACGGGUGAGUAACGCGUGGGUAACCUGCCUUGCACUGGGGGAUAACACUUAGAAAUAGGUGCUAAAACCGCAUAAGCGCACAGCUUCGCAUGAAGCGGUGUGAAAAACUCCGGUGGUGUAAGAUGGACCCGCGUCUGAUUAGCUUGUUGGCGGGGUAACGGCCCACCAAGGCGACGAUCAGUAGCCGGCCUGAGAGGGCGGACGGCCACAUUGGGACUGAGACACGGCCCAGACUCCUACGGAAGGCAGCAG
rnacentral:rRNA from 1 species